ACAGGAUCAAAGAGUGGAAUGAUGGUUGCCAGAGGCUGGAAGAAGGAGGAAAUGGAAAAUUACUUAUCAACUGACAUAAAGUUCAGUCUCUUCAGCAGGAGGUGAGAACAAUAAAAGGGGGAAAGAACAGCUAUGGAGCAACCAGUCAACUGUACCAACCCUCCUACAAAAUGAUGAACACCAACUCUACUUACCUUCUGGACUCAGAGAGAGAGUGAGACAGAACAUGAACAGGAGAAGAGCAGAGAG